GCGUAAACCACGCAGAGCGUGCUUAAGGAAAGGGGCAGAACCACCCGCUUCUCGUUCCACUCGUCGUUCUUGUCGUGGCCGCAGCCCCGGCGAAGGACAAGGCCGACCGCGACGAGUACCGCUUAGAGUCUCGCUUCUGCCUCCGCCGCAACCUGAGACCUUGCUAGAGUAGCCGUUGCCCAAGUCUCCGCACGCUCGGCGGCAAACAAAACCCGCUCCCGCCACUGCGAAACGGGCUAAGCCGGCAUCAGAGCGGCCUAAGCCGGCAGCUUCGAGGGAGCGGCCUGUAAGCAGCCAACCUAGCUCCCCACCCGAACGACUACAGGUCAGGAGGCCCCGAAGGACGUUCUCGAAGUCACGACCACCGCCUCUACACCGCAGGCGUUUGGGGCCCACGCCCUGAGGACGGCAGAAGAGCGCGUGUAGGCGGCUCAGGUCGGCGGCGUCACCGAGAAGCCCAAGAACGUGCUGUAAGUCAAGACCCCCGCACCAGCACGGCAGCCGCGCUCUGACGCUGCUAUGCGGCCGGCAGCAGAGCUCGAGCCAGCACGUCAGGAAUCGGGUUUUGCCCGGCCCAAGCCCCUUGUGGUGGUAGGCGCAACCGACCUUCGCGUCGAUCGAUGACUAAAAGACGGCAAAUGCGGUUAACACGUAAAAGGACAAGAGUCAGCACGCUCGUUCAUGACUUUAUAAGUAAUCUGAACACUUAAACCCAUCCCGAGACCUAUUUCUGACCUCCUUUGUUGUCUUUAGACUUAGUUGGGAAGGGUUGUUCAAGCAUCUACAAAACGAAUUCGGGAUUGGUCACCAACCAGUCGUUUUUUUAUGGGCACGGUGACGACAUCAUACAGGGACCAAUUAAAAGUCACUGUUUUUCUCGAACUUAACGAUCAUUAUUCUUCGUGGCAUUAACGCACUAAUUCAAGAAAGACCAGUUACAAUAAGACAAGCCACUAAUAGACAACCUACCACUGAAAAGAAUCACAAGUUUGUAACGUUUCCCUUUCGAUAUGAAGCCACCUUAGGUAAACGUCUUCAAAUCACUUAAAGCACGUCGUCAGACUUACAUCUCACCCCCUCUCUUAUAUCUGACUUAGUCCGACCUACCAUGACGUUAAAAUUAAGUACGAUAAUCAGAAUCGGAACC
rnacentral:rRNA from 1 species